CAGCAGCAGGCAGCCCCACUCGAAUCCUCCCCAGAUUUUCCCCUCCUCCUCUCGCAAUCUUGUGACACGCGCGUGGGCGCGUGACUACAGAGAGGCAUGGGACACGUGUAUGAUGCUUCCUUCGAAUGACCUAUAAACCACGGUGCUAUUGGCUUUAAGCAGGAAGUAAAAGAACAUGGAGGUGAGGAGAAGGGGCAUUACAGAAUUUUCGACUUCUCAGAUUACCCUACUUUGGAUACAUUAUAUGAAAAGGGAAAUUUUCUCUGGAAAAGAAUCUAAUCCUGGGAAAGGUGGAAGGAAAGAUGAUUAGCAGCAAGGUGGAUGGACUAAUUUGCAGUGGUGAUGAGUGUACCAUUGGAAAAUCUGAAAAACCAAGUUAGGAUUGUCUGCCUUACCAGGUUUGUUGCUGUUAUGUAGCGGUUCAGAGGUUUCUUACUCUUUGGGAUCCAAUAGAUAUAGGAUUUUUCUGCCAGUAACUGAUUUUCAGAGUUCUUGUGUAAUUCAAGAAAAUAUUAACCACCUUGUCUUCUGUUGACCUUUUUUUCUAUUGCCUUUGAUUUUUCAAAGUACCAGAGUCUUCUCUGAUGACUCUUGCCUUCUCAUUAUACAUCCAGAAUUCUUAAGCUUUAGUUUCAUUGGAGAAUUCUGGUUUUACUUCAACUCCUAUACUAUUGAAUGACAUGUUCUUCAAUAUAUUCUCAAUCAUUUUUUUCUAGCAUCACCGUUCUAAGAUUUUCUCUUACAAGCCAAAAAUAAAUCAUAAUGUUGACAGCAUAUGCCUUUGUUGUCAGUGUGAUGACUACAUAUUUGUCUAGACUUGUCCUAGUCUUUCUCCAAAUAGCAGACGUUUCUUCACUUCAUGGCUACAGUCCAUAUACCACUGGAUGUUUGAAUCUUGGAAAAUAAAAGCUCUAUCUUCUUCCAUGCUUAUUUGCAUUGGGUUGGCAUUCAUUGAUAUAAUAAUCAAAUAUAGACCUGCCUUUGAUUAAUUUCAGAUUCCCAGAUUAUUCUCAGUCUAUGCUUUCCUAACAAUAUACUAACCUGUACUCUCACAGACUUUUCCCCAUUAUGUAUUAAAAUCAGAAAUAAGUAGCUAAAUAAGUUAAAUUGACUUUAUUGAUUGUAAUUUAGAAUUCUCUAUGUGUGAUCGUUGUUUAUUUUGGUUUUCUCUUUUUCCCAAAUAAUGAAAUUUCUCCUUUCCACAAAUAAUCUUCUUUAUACCUCUGAAAUUUUAACUUUGUUGUUUAAAGAAUGAUGUUUUAACUGAAGCCUUAAUCACAGGAAAAAUUACUUGACAUCAUAAAAAAAGAACAAAAUCUUAAGAAUGACAAGAUUUUUUUUUUUAUAAAGAUAAGAACAGUCACAUUUCUAUUUUCUUCCUAUUAAUAUCCGGUCCUCUACUAGAGGCCUGGGAGUUUGAGGGUUCUGUACAGUAUCUUAACUGUUCCUAACACUGUAGUUUUCUGGACAGGGAGCUCUGACGUUGCUCCUAUGAUGGGUUGGGGCCACUCUGCCAGCUUAGGAGUCACAGUCACCAAUGCUCCUAUCUCCACUGAGACAACUUUGGCUUCUACUUUCCACAUCCUCCUUCAGGCCCUGGUACUUCUC